CAGUUGAUUAUUGUUGUAUGAUUUUACUUUGACUGUCAGCUGUGUGGCGACUGCAGUGCUUUUAUUGUCUCCUAGCUGCAGAUAUGCAGCCUCAAUGGAUGGCAUCUGGGAAGAAGAGGAACCUUCUAGAGACCAAGUGAAGGAACAUCUUCUCUGUGCUGAAGCUCUGAGAUGAGUGCAGAGUUUCCGGACCACAACGGAGAAGUUCCUUCACUCCAUUCAUGCCUUUUUCAUACCGUACUCACUGUAUACUCAUAGUAUUGUAUGCCAUGAAAAAAAUUAAUAAAAAAAGUAAGUAAUAGUAGUAGUAUGUAA